rnacentral:rRNA from 1 species
UACGUAGGGUGCAAGCGUUAUUCGGAAUUAUUGGGCGUAAAGAGCUCGUAGGCGGUCUGUCGCGUCUGCUGUGAAAACUCAGGGCUUAACCCUGAGCUUGCAGUGGGUACGGGCAGACUAGAGUGCGGUAGGGGAGACUGGAAUUCCUGGUGUAGCGGUGAAAUGCGCAGAUAUCGAGGAGGAACACCGGUGGCGAAGGCGGGUCUCUGGGCCGUAAGCUGACGC